CCCAUUGAUUGAUGGUGCUUGCACCUGAUUGAUUUUGGCCGCCAACGAGUGGCGGACGGGUGAGUAACACGUAGGUAACCUGCCCAGAAGCGGGGGACAACAUUUGGAAACAGAUGCUAAUACCGCAUAACAACGUUGUUCGCAUGAACAACGCUUAAAAGAUGGCUUCUCGCUAUCACUUCUGGAUGGACCUGCGGUGCAUUAGCUUGUUGGUGGGGUAACGGCCUACCAAGGCGAUGAUGCAUAGCCGAGUUGAGAGACUGAUCGGCCACAAUGGGACUGAGACACGGCCCAUACUCCUACGGGAGGCAGCAGUAGGGAAUCUUCCACAAUGGGCGCAAGCCUGAUGGAGCAACACCGCGUGAGUGAAGAAGGGUUUCGGCUCGUAAAGCUCUGUUGUUAAAGAAGAACACGUAUGAGAGUAACUGUUCAUACGUUGACGGUAUUUAACCAGAAAGUCACGGCUAACUACGUGCCAGCAGCCGCGGUAAUACGUAGGUGGCAAGCGUUAUCCGGAUUUAUUGGGCGUAAAGAGAGUGCAGGCGGUUUUCUAAGUCUGAUGUGAAAGCCUUCGGCUUAACCGGAGAAGUGCAUCGGAAACUGGAUAACUUGAGUGCAGAAGAGGGUAGUGGAACUCCAUGUGUAGCGGUGGAAUGCGUAGAUAUAUGGAAGAACACCAGUGGCGAAGGCGGCUACCUGGUCUGCAACUGACGCUGAGACU
rnacentral:rRNA from 1 species